ACGAACGCUGGCGGCGUGCUUAACACAUGCAAGUCGAACGGAAAGGCCUGCUUUCCCUUGUGGAUUGCGGGUACUCGAGUGGCGAACGGGUGAGUAACACGUGAGUGAUCUGCCCCCAACUUGGGUAUAAGCCUGGGAAACUGGGUCUAAUUCCCGAUAGGACUGCAGGGUGGUGCCUGUGGUGGAAAACGAUUUUCUAGUGGUUGGGGAUGAGCUCGCGGCCUAUCAGCUUGUUGGUGGGGUAAUGGCCUACCAAGGCGGCGACGGGUAGCCGGCCUGAGAGGGUGGACGGCCCCAUUGGGACUGAGAUACGGCCCAGACUCCUACGGGAGGCAGCAGUGGGGAAUAUUACACAAUGGGCGGAAGCCUGAUGCAGCGACGCCGCGUGGGGGAUGACGGCCUUCGGGUUGUAAACUCCUUUCGACCGCGAGGAAGCCACCUGGUUGGAAGGGUGGUGACGGUAGUGGUAGAAGAAGCACCGGCUAACUACGUG
rnacentral:rRNA from 1 species